GACGAACGCUGGCGGCGUGCUUAACACAUGCAAGUCGAACGGAAAGGCCCUGCUUUUGUGGGGUGCUCGAGUGGCGAACGGGUGAGUAACACGUGAGUAACCUGCCCUUGACUUUGGGAUAACUUCAGGAAACUGGGGCUAAUACCGGAUAGGAGCUCCUGCUGCAUGGUGGGGGUUGGAAAGUUUCGGCGGUUGGGGAUGGACUCGCGGCUUAUCAGCUUGUUGGUGGGGUAGUGGCUUACCAAGGCUUUGACGGGUAGCCGGCCUGAGAGGGUGACCGGCCACAUUGGGACUGGGAUACGGCCCAGACUCGUACGGGAGGCAGCAGUGGGGAAGAUUGCACAAUGGGCGGAAGCCUGAUGCAGCAACGCCGCGUGCGGGAUGACGGCCUUCGGGUUGUAAACCGCUUUCGCCUGUGACGAAGUGUGAGUGACAGUAAUGGGUAAAGAAGCACCGGCUAACUACGUG
rnacentral:rRNA from 1 species